CCAGAGUUGAAACUACUGAAAACAGAGAGCACUAAAUAUCUUUAAUCAAUACAGGACAUCAAAGCCCUGAACUGUUCACAUUGGAGAGAACAGCAGGAUAAAAAAACGGAGAUUUCUUUCUUCCACUGAAAGCGCAUUGGAGAGGUGAGAAGUGGAUAAAAAUACAUGUUAUUUCUUGGUCGGCUGGAAGGUGGUUUUGCAGUUUAUAACUGCAGGUUGACAAGCAAACUUUGGAUUCCCCUGAAAUCCUCUGAAUUCAUCCCUAAUGUCUGCAGAAUGAAUCCAGAUUUCCAAAGCCGGCAUGGAAGGGACAGUCCUUGCCCCUUGGGCCAUUGCCCUGCUGAUCUUUGGUGCUGUGCUGAUAAUGACCUCACUGAUGAUCCUCCCUCCUGUCACUCUCCUCAUCUGGAGAAUCCACCAGAUGCCAGAGAUCUCGCUGGUAGGGGCCAUAUAAGUCCAGGCCCCUUCCAGACCUCUGCUGACUCCCAGAUUGUUCUGUCUUAGAUGGCGUUACCCAGACCAAAAAGUCUUGGGCCAUUUAUGAAAUUCACAUAGCCCUUACCUCCCUGUCACAAGCUUUCAGUGGUCUUCCGUAUCAGACAACUGCUUCCCUUUGUAGAAUCACGGAAUGCAAAAGCUUGAAGCAACCAAACUCUCCAUGGUACAUAUGAAAAAAAAAAUUGAAGGGGAAGGGACUGGCCCAAAGCCACACAGAUAGUAAAUGGCAGAGCCAAGAGUCAAACCUAGGUCUAACCAUAGGUCAGAGCAUUAGCUCUUUCCCCUUUUUUUGAACGUGUCCAAUUGAGAUCAUAUUUCAAUGUGUCCUUCUAGGACCUGGUGAAUUGGCCUCCUAUUACUACAUAAAAUGCCCUGACUACACACAGCAGAUAGGGAGCCAAAUGGACAAAAACUUCAUCUUUGUUCUUUCACCCUCAAAGUGGCUCUCUGGAACCUCUGUUGAUAUAGUAACAAUGCAGAAUUACAGAUAACAAUAGCUUAAAGGACUUUAGAGAUAAACUAGGUUAACCCUCUCAUUUUACAGCAAAGGAAGCAGAAGUUUCCCAGAGAGAUUAUGUGAUUGGCCCAUGGUCACAGAAAGUAAAGAGGACAGCUGAGAUGUGAAGUCUAACUCCAAGUAUAACACACUACCUUGUUAGAACCAGCACAAUAUCAAUGCCAUUUUCUUAAGACACUCUUGCUCUGACUUAUAUACAUGAAGCAACGAGUUGGUUGCCAUUCAAUUGAUCAACCAGCAAGCAUUUAUUAAGCACUUACUAUGUGCCAGACACUGUUCCAGGUGUUAGGGAUACAAAUAUAAAAGUAAAAUAGCCCUUACCCUUGAGAAGCUUACAUUCUAGCUAAGAGAAACAAUAUAGGUAGGUAGGACGAUAGAAUAGGAUAGAUGGAGAGAGAGAGAGAGAGAGAGAGAGAGAGAGAAUUUAUGAAAUAUAUACAAAAUGGUACAAGAUAAUUUAGAGGGGUAACACACUAGCAGUUAAGAAUUCAGCUUCAUGUAGAAUGGAGGUAUUAAACCCACAGGCCACAUGCAUCCCAUGAUAUUCUUUACUGCUGCCUGAAAAAAGAUUAAAAUGUAAUUGGAAAUUAUUAAAAAAAAUAAAAUAUAAAAUUACAUUUUAAAACUAAGUCA
ensembl:lncRNA